AGAGGGGGAUAACAUUCUGAAAAGAAUGCUAAUACCGCAUGACAUAUCGGAACCACAUGGUUCUGAUAUCAAAGAUUUUAUCGCUUGAAGAUGGACUCGCGUCCGAUUAGUUAGUUGGUGAGGUAACGGCUCACCAAGACCGCGAUUGGUAGCCGGACUGAGAGGUUGAACGGCCACAUUGGGACUGAGACACGGCCCAGACUCCUACGGGAGGCAGCAGUGGGGGAUAUUGCGCAAUGGGGGCAACCCUGACGCAGCAACGCCGCGUGAAGGAUGAAGGUUUUCGGAUUGUAAACUUCUUUUAUUAAGGACGAAAAAUGACGGUACUUAAUGAAUAAGCUCCGGCUAACUACGUGCCAGCAGCCGCGGUAAUACGUAGGGAGCAAGCGUUGUCCGGAUUUACUGGGUGUAAAGGGUGCGUAGGCGGCUUUGCAAGUCAGAUGUGAAAUCUAUGGGCUCAACCCAUAAACUGCAUUUGAAACUGUAGAGCUUGAGUGAAGUAGAGGCAGGCGGAAUUCCCCGUGUAGCGGUGAAAUGCGUAGAGACGGGGAGGGACACCAGUGGCGAAGGCGGCCUGCUGGGCUUUAACUGACGCUGAGGCACGAAAGCGUGGGUAGCAAACAGGAUUAGAUACCCUGGUAGUCCACGCUGUAAACGA
rnacentral:rRNA from 1 species